rnacentral:rRNA from 1 species
UACGGAGGGUGCAAGCGUUAUCCGGAAUCACUGGGUUUAAAGGGUGCGUAGGCGGCUGUAUAAGUCAGAGGUGAAAGCCCGGAGCUUAACUUCGGAACUGCCUUUGAUACUGUAUAGCUUGAAAUAGGUUGAGGUCAGCGGAAUGUGGCAUGUAGCGGUGAAAUGCAUAGAGAUGCCAGAGAACACCAAUUGCGAAGGCAGCUGGCUGGACCUUAUUUGACGCUGAGGCACGAAAGAGUGGGGAGCGAACAGG